rnacentral:lncRNA from 1 species
AGAAUGGUGUGAACCCAGGAGGUGGAGCUUGCAGUGAGCUGAGAUUGCGCCACUGCACUCCAGCCUGGGGACUCAAAAAAAAAACCACAACUGAAUCUAGAAUUAUGUCUUAUUUCUCCCAUCCUUCUCCUUUGGACUAAAGAUUAGGUAUUUCUUCCCAACUCUCCUCUAGAUCAGUUGAGAACAACCAAGACCACCACCGCCAAAGCAAAUGCCAAUUUUCAGCUGGGGUCUCUUAGCUCAAGACAGAAUAGAAAGCUCUGCAGCAGGCUGAGUGCCCCAGGAACCAUCAGUAGGAACAGUGCCACUACUGAAUACCCCAAGUGCUUGUCAAUGGCUUCCUAACAAAUGGCUUCAUUUAGACUCUCCUACAGGUCAGCCGCUGCAUGUCCACCCGAGACUGCUAAAGGUCACACUCCUGCACUCUCUUUCCUUUUCUGGAAAAUGACCUUGAAACCGUAAUGAGCCUGGAGGAAGCCAACCAGACAGGAAAUAAACCCGCUUGGGUGCGUGUGCUUGUGGAAGAGUUUUGGAAGACCUUCCAUCCCCUGGGAAAACACUUGUUUGAUACAGUCAUGGCCAGCUAUUAUUCGUGAUCUCAUUGGUGGGAAGGCUGGUGGGGAUUGAUUUCAAAAUGAACUUUAAGCUAAGAGGGCAGCUAGGAGGUGGCUCUGAGAGGCUCUGUUGACAGGGGCCAGUGGUGAUGUCAGAGGAGCUCGGGUCAGGAAUUCUGGGGCAAGGGCAGAGUUGAUGAACCUUAUUUUUAGAUGGUGUUGAUAUUUUUAGUGAAAGUCCAACAGCCUCUCCAUUUUUGGUUGGGGGGAUAGAGGGAGAAGGGAUGACUUCCUGGAGUUAGUCAUUUCCUCUGCUGGUGAAGAGAUUUGGCGGUGCUCCUAUGUCAUAGGAAGUGCCUGGAGAUGGUAAACACUGCUGACAUAAUGGGAACUUACACCAUGGGUGUGUCAGAGCACACAUAUUCCUUCCUGGACCCUGGGCCAGGUGAGUGGGGGAUGCUUCCUGUUUUUGGCUCUAGGAGGAUUUUCAACUUCUGGGAGCUGCUCUGGAGAAUAAAUCACAAGAACUGCUGGGCUAAGCAGCUGAGGCCACAGACAUCAGAAAGUGAUUCGGUGGCAAGAAUUGUGGAAUGUGCCCUGGCAGUUCCCAGAACUGCCGAGUCAUCUUAUCCUCUCUGAGGUGUAUAUGGGGCCAAGUGGGUUUGGUUCCAAUACCAUAAAGCGAUCCUCAUCUGAAAUUUGCUCGCUUGCCAGAGAUGCCCUUAGUGCCUGGAUCUCAUCCAUGACUAAAUUCAUUCAGCAGAGCCUCCUGAUUGCGCCUCUGAAAUCUCCUAUGAGUCUGGUUCCUGCACUGUACCUCUCCAGAUGUCCGUCACCUCUUGUAUGGAUUAGUAGAUCACCCGCUCUCCCUGACAAUGAUCUCUUCCAUGUGGGCCCUCCUCCACACUGCUGGUAGUAGGCGCGGUCUUGGAAAACACAUAGCAACCUUGUCACCGUUCCCCUUCUCCCUUGUCCAUAGUAGAUAUUGCUAAUCGCUCACGGCACUUUAACUACUAAGCCCAGACAUAGGUGACCACCCAGUCUUUCUUAACAUUAUCCUUCAGCUCUCAUGACUAAUCACUUGGAAAUGGCAUUUGACAUAAAGUCAAUUUGCUAUCUUGGUGCUCGUGUUAUCUUCCUAAAAACGAAAUCCAAUUGUGGCUUUUCUCUGAUGUGAGACUUCCUGUCUUCCUAGUGCCUUCAAAAUGAAUGCCAACUGCUUGGCAGGUGCCUAGGAACUAAAGCAUCUCACCUCUCCUUCCUGUGCGGCCUCAUCUUCUCACCUCUCCUUUCCCAACUUCCACUUUUUCCCUAUGCAUGCCUUGGGGAAUGUCACACUCUUUCCCAGAUACACUUUGCUUUUCUGUGACUCCUGGGUUUGUAUGGGGUGUUCUUGCUUUCUGGAUUUUCCUCUUUCCUUUUUCCUAGCCAUAAACUCUCAUUUUUUCAAACUCUCCAUAUUUCUCUUCUGCUGUAUUUCCAAGAUCUCACUAGGCAAAGUCAGGCACCUUUUCUGUGUUCUCUUGGGCUUCUGUUUUUGCCUCUGUUAAAGCAUUGUUAUUGUAAUAUGUUCUCAUGCUGUAUAUAUGUUACAAUAUAUUGUGGUUAUUACAUGAAUUAUAUGCAUUAUAAUUAUGGUCAUGCAUUUGCUUACUUAUUCAACACAUUUAUUGACUGCCUUCUAUGUGUUGUGUUACUAAUAGGUAAAUUAAUACGUGGAAUAAAUGUUUAAUGAACAUGUUUUUGACUAAACAAAUAAAUGAUAUUUCCUUGCUCAUCGAAGAUGCCAUUAGCCCUUGUAUUUCUAAAGUAGCUUCUUCAAAACCAC